UAAGACACCGUUGAUCCAAUAGUGGAUCAGUAUUUUUAGCAGCCCUAUUCGGGCUAUCUGAUAAAGUGUUAAAGAAACUAGAAGCUGCAUAUAGUUGGUGGUGAUAUCGCGGUCCGUCUGGGGAUUUAAAUUUGCAGCAGCAGCAGCAGCACAAGCUUUUGCAAAGUGAAAGAGUAAUUUUUAAGGAAGAAUUGAAUCGGGGUAUAGGUAGGGUUAGCGGAGAGUUGAAAGGAAAAUUUAGGAAAAUUUCUAACGAGUUUAGAUGCAAAAUGAAUUGAACACACAUUGGGAAUUACGAUAGCUUAAUCAGACUCUCUGCUUUGUUGGUUGAUCGCAUUCUCGUUAAAUGAAGUAAAGGCAAAGGGUGCUGUGAAAUAGUGUCCAGCGGAUAAAAGGAAGAAAAUUUGAAAAAAAAUUAUAGAGUCGAUUUUUAACGCGUAAAGCAAGAUUUUACGCGUAAAACGCAUUUGCACUAUUUUUGGAAAUAUUUUGAAAAAGUAGUGCAAUUAAGGCAUGGCAAGUAAAUGAAGUGUAAGUGCGCAAAAAAUGAGGGUUUGAAAGAGAAAAAAAUAAAUAUUUUUUCGGUAGAGAGGGCAGUACUUGUCAGAGAUGUUAGGUAAAUUAGAGAAUUGAAGGCGCCGCAAAAUAGUAAAAAUUGGUGCCUUGAAAAGUUGAUGGGUUUAGUUGGGACAAAAAAAAUCGUCUACGCUGUAACGUAGGCUGAAACUAGAGGAGAAAAUAGGAAAAGCUAAGAGGGAAGCAUUUAUGUAAUUUUUAGGAAAAAAGAGAACGACUCUGAAAUGCUUGAGUAGAGAGUAAAAAAAUAUUUUUUAUUUUAUUUUGCUUUUUUUGAAGCUAACAGAUUAUUUGUGUGGUAAAAUCCGUACCAAACGCUUUGGUAGACAAGUAGCUGCAACAGGGUGUGGCAGGUAAAAUAAUUAUUAAAGCAAAAAAAUGGCAAAUUAAAAAAUAAAUUAAAAUUUUUUUCGGCUUAAAAGCUUUCCAUUUUUUCAGCGAAUAAAGUGUGCGUGGAAAUUAAAAAAGCGCCCCCUUCAUUAAGGAAUGACAAGGACAGUUGGAAUAAAGGUGGAAAAUUUUAAGAGAUUUUAAUCCUUCUUUAUAAAUUUUUAGCGGGAAAAAUAAAAGAGCUAUAUUUAUUUGAUGAAAGAAUUAAAAUAUAGGCGAGGAUUGAUUAAAACUUUCAUCAAGCUUUAUAGAAGCUAUAUAUGCUAGGGUGCCAAAAUAAUAUAAAGCCCGUUCGUUCCCUUCCCUUAUCUGGGCUUGGGCUGGGCUGGGCUGAGCUGAAAAGUCACCCUGUAGGGGGGUGAGAGCCGCGCGGAGUCUUGAGGUGCAGGCUGUGUAGCCAGCCAGGCUGGGUCUGAAUAAGGCCUGGCCUGGCUUGGCGGAGCGCGGUUAAAACUAGAGUGUGGGUCUAUACACAGUUGUUCUAUGCACUCUCAACUCUCGAGUCUAACUGUUUAGCAGCAAUGUGUGUUUGGCGGUUUAGGCGGGAAUCUCUGCGCUGUACCCUAGCCUCUAAUCAAGGCUGGCUGUGCGACACGUUAGAGACCCUGCCUUCUGCCCCCUUGUGUGGUUGCUAGAAAUCGGCCUAAAGAGCUGCUUGAAGAAAGCAGGUUUCUUGGGCUCUGCCCAAAUCGUCAACUAUUGAGCUUCUGCCUUGGCUUGGAGUUGGGCUUGUCCAAGCAUGUGCAAACGCAGGCAUAUCAGCCCGCUAAGGUGUGCUGAUCGCGGUCCAGACUGAGAAGCAAGCUUUAUAAUAGAGUGCGUGUAUUUGAACUGAGAGUUGGCUAUUCUGCCAUGAAAUACUGGCAGAUAUAACCAAUCCUAGUAUUGCCUCUAUGUUGGUGAUUAUAGAGGUUGACUUGUUCUGUCAAAGACCAGUCUAUACAUAGGCUUGGUUAGCGAGUGAACAAAAACAUUGUGUGGAUGCGGAGUGGAUAUCUAAAACACACGGUAGCUAUUGCUACAGUGUCUAUUAAAGAUUCGUUGCAAUAUUGCACACAGAGUCUUGACCAAGUUGGCUUAUUAAAAAUAACCAACUUAGCUAUCUGGUUGAUCCUGCCAGUAGUCAUAUGCUUGUCUCAAAGAUUAAGCCAUGCAUGUCUAAGUACAAACCUUAAUACGGUGAAACCGCGAAUGGCUCAUUAAAUCAGCUAUGGUUCCUUAGAUCGUCUCAUCCUACUCGGAUAACUGUGGAAAAUCUAGAGCUAAUACGUGCUUACAAGCCCUGACCUCACGGGAGGGGCGCAUUUAUUAGAUCAAAACCAAUCGGGGCUUGCCCCGUCUGCUUGGUGACUCUGGAUAACUUUUGUGCUGAUCGCAUGGCCUCUGCGCUGGCGACGUAUCUUUCAAGUGUCUGCCCUAUCAACUUACGAUGGUAGGUGAUAUGCCUACCAUGGUUAUAACGGGUAACGGGGAAUCAGGGUUCGAUUCCGGAGAGGGAGCCUGAGAAACGGCUACCACAUCUAAGGAAGGCAGCAGGCGCGCAAAUUACCCACUCCCGGCACGGGGAGGUAGUGACGAAAAAUAACGAUACGGGACUCUUUUGAGGCCCCGUAAUUGGAAUGAGUACACUUUAAAUCCGUUAACAAGUAUCUAUUGGAGGGCAAGUCUGGUGCCAGCAGCCGCGGUAAUUCCAGCUCCAAUAGCGUAUAUUAAUGUUGCUGCAGUUAAAAAGCUCGUAGUUGGAUCUGAGGACUCGAAUUGGUGGUGCACCAUACGGUGUUACUGCCGAUUCGGCCUACCUAGUCGGUGCUCGCUCUUGGUGUUCUUAAUUGAAUGCCCUGAGUGCCCGGCAAGUUUACUUUGAAAAAAUUAGAGUGCUCAAAGCAGGCCAUUAGCCGGAAUACUUCAGCAUGGAAUAAUGGAAUAGGACUUCGGUUCUAUUUUGUUGGUUUUCGGAACCCGAGGUAAUGAUUAAGAGAGACAGACGGGGGCAUUCGUACUGCGGUGUUAGAGGUGAAAUUCUUGGAUCGCCGCAAGACGAACAACUGCGAAAGCAUUUGCCAAGAAUGUUUUCAUUAAUCAAGAACGAAAGUCAGAGGUUCGAAGACGAUCAGAUACCGUCCUAGUUCUGACCAUAAACGAUGCCAACUGGCGAUCCGAGAUCGUUUGCUUAUUGACCUCUCGGGCAGCCUCCGGGAAACCAAAGUUUUUAGGUUCCGGGGGAAGUAUGGUUGCAAAGCUGGAACUUAAAGGAAUUGACGGAAGGGCACCACCAGGAGUGGAGCCUGCGGCUUAAUUUGACCCAACACGGGAAAACUCACCCGGCCCGGACACUGUUAGGAUUGACAGAUUGAGAGCUCUUUCUUGAUUCGGUGGGUGGUGGUGCAUGGCCGUUCUUAGUUGGUGGAGCGAUUUGUCUGGUUAAUUCCGAUAACGAACGAGACUCUAGCCUGCUAAAUAGUACGCCGAUACCUUUUCGUCGGUGCUGACUUCUUAGAGGGACAAGCGUCUUGAAGACGCACGAGAUUGAGCAAUAACAGGUCUGUGAUGCCCUUAGAUGUUCGGGGCCGCACGCGCGCUACACUGAAGGGGACAGCGAGUUUUUCCUGGUUCGAAAGAACCGGGUAAUCUGUUGAAUUCCCUUCGUGACAGGGAUCGGGGCUUGCAAUUAUUCCCCGUGAACGAGGAAUUCCCAGUAAGCGCAAGUCAUCAGCUUGCGUUGAUUACGUCCCUGCCCUUUGUACACACCGCCCGUCGCUACUACCGAUUGAAUGGUUUAGCAAGGUCCUCGGAUUGGUGCCGACUUGGUGGCAACACUAGGUCGGAUACUGAAAAGAAGAUCAAACUUGAUCAUUUAGAGGAAGUAAAAGUCGUAACAAGGUUUCCGUAGGUGAACCUGCGGAAGGAUCAUUACUGAAUGUCUUUUAAAACACUUUCUACUGUUGGGAAUAAAGUCCAGGGAUUCUCUGCCCUUCUAUUUUGAGAAACCCUGGCGGGCUUAUUUUCUAGCGCGCUUAAUUGUGUGCUAUACUUAAAUAAGCCGGCGGGCCGUGCUAUAGACUCAAAUUGGCGAGGCAAAAACGAAGGGAGCUUUGCUCAAGAGUCUUUUAGCGGAGCUACUACUAUUUUUUUAACGCUCAGCGGUCACAUGCUACCUAUAAAAAUCUCUUGGUCGGAGGUGCCUAUGCUGUUAGCCUCUCUUUAAUUUAUUUUAUAGAGAGUACCUAGCUGCGCUUGAGUGUCGUAAAGAGGGUGCGCUCGGUCGGGAUUAUUAAUAAGCGCACACCACUGACGCAAGGCUCAAUGAGAUGCAAAGACUGUUCGCUCCUUUUCCUCCCAGACCUGACGGGAGUUUGCUACCACAGAUUUUGGUAGUUUAUAAAAAUAUUUUCCCUUCCAAGUAAGGAGCGACGACUCUUAUUAUGUCUGAGCAUCCACCUCUAACCUCUAACGUUUAUUUCACACUGUUUGAUUAAACAUUUUUUAAGGCAUAGCCUUGAAAAAAGAACCGAUCACCGAGAAGUUUUGCUUCCCUUCGGUUAGAUCGAAGUAUUUGCAGGCCCAUAGUGACUUGCAUAAUGAACAACUCUGAGCGGUGGAUCACUCGGCUCGUGCGUCGAUGAAGAGCGCAGCCAACUGCGUGAAUUAGUGUGAAUUGCAGGAUAUCUUGAACAUCGACAUCUUGAACGCAUAUUGCGGCCUCAGGUCUCCCCUGUGGCCACGCCUGGCCGAGGGUCGGUUUAGCAAACUAUCGCUGUAUCUUUUUUAACAGCAGCGUAUUUGGGAGACCGCAUCUCUCAUACUGCUUCUUCUCUAUUAUAGUAGUAUGUAUAGAUUUGCAUCUCUUUAAAGUCUCUGAGUUUUAUUUCCAGCCGUGCAUUUCUUCUCUUAUUGGAAGGAAAGUGCAGACAUGCCACCUCUAUUUGCAAAAGCAUGUACGCGUGCCGGUAUGGCUCGAAGAGUUGUACCGAGUGCGUGUACUGUGCUGAGUGUCUGUUUCUUUUGUCUCCUUCCUUAUUAAGAGGCUGCGGCUG
rnacentral:rRNA from 1 species